rnacentral:lncRNA from 1 species
ACUGCACUUCCUGCGAGGCCCCUGCAGCAGCAGCGGCGUGGUCAGAGCGAGCUUCGGAGAAGCAGUGGUGGGUUCCAUGUGAUGGUGGAGUAGGAGGCAGGUCUCCGCGGAAAGAAAAAAGAAGAAAACAAACCUCCAUACGAGAAUGGGUCUAAAGGAACUUCCCAAACCUCCAUGAUUUUGCAGGAAACAAGAUAAAGGUGGUUUCCACAAGAAAAAUGGCACAAUGUUUCUCAGAAGACAAUUACAUAAGAAUCAGCAUACUUCAAAUUCACAGCAAAUAAUCAGACAAUUGAUGAAAAUACUUACCCAAACACUAAUUGUAGACUAUGCCUUCUGAAUAUGUUUGUCAUAAACUUGGAGUAAGGAAUCCUCACAGGCACUGGACAAUUCAAAAAACGUAAAGUUGUUUGUUAGAAUACUGGUGCUUUUGGGUAGAAACCCUCAUCCAUAUCCUGGUAAGGCUUGAAGUUGCACAGGAGUUUUCAUUUGUCAAAACCCAGAAAACCAUAAGCUUUAGAUUUGUGAAUUUUAUAUUGUAUUAUAUGUGACCUUUCUUUUUAAAAAAUGAGCUGUAAGCAGUCUCCCAGACAGUAGCUCAGCCUCCAGAACUCUCUUUCUGCAUAGUUGAAGACCCCUCUUCACACAAGAUGGUAGCAACAAAUCAUAGGUGCAAUUGCACCAAAUUCACAGAAGAUCAAUUGAAAAUCCUCAUCAAUACCUUCACUCAAAAACCUUACCCAGGUUAUGCUACCAAACAAAAACUUG